rnacentral:lncRNA from 1 species
GUUUCGCCAAUGGUAACAUCUCAUGUAACUCCAGUACAACAUCAGACUAGGAAAUUGACAUGGGUGCAGCCUACUGACUUUAUGCAGAUUUCACCAGUUUUAAUUGCCAUCUCUGGUACCGCCAAAAGCCAAAGAGAUCAGGUAAUGCAAUACCAAAGACAGCAGAGUUUUAGACUUGAGAAGAACCUGUCCAUAACUCUUCAGACGCCACAGGAAGACAAAAGAUUCCCAAAAGGUGAGCAGCCAGACUGACUUCCUGCAUGAAGUCUCCGGGCUCUGGUUUGCAAAGCUGCGUCUAGAGUGGCUGCUGUCUGCUUCUCCAACUUAGUCUCCCGGCACUCAGUCUCCACUUCAUCACUAUGGAGCUA